rnacentral:rRNA from 1 species
UCUUGGUCAUUUAGAGGAAGUAAAAGUCGUAACAAGGUUUCCGUAGGUGAACCUGCGGAAGGAUCAUUAAAGAAAUUUAAUAAUUUUGAAAAUGGAUUUUUUUUUUUGUUUUGGCAAGAGCAUGAGAGCUUUUACUGGGCAAGAAGACAAGAGAUGGAGAGUCCAGCCGGGCCUGCGCUUAAGUGCGCGGUCUUGCUAGGCUUGUAAGUUUCUUUCUUGCUAUUCCAAACGGUGAGAGAUUUCUGUGCUUUUGUUAUAGGACAAUUAAGACCGUUUCAAUACAACACACUGUGGAGUUUUCAUAUCUUUGCAACUUUUUCUUUGGGCAUUCGAGCAAUCGGGGCCCAGAGGUUAACAAACACAAACAAUUUUAUCUAUUCAUUAAAUUUUCGUCAAAAACAAGAAUUUUCGUAACUGGAAAUUUUAAAAUAUUAAAAACUUUCAACAACGGAUCUCUUGGUUCUCGCAUCGAUGAAGAACGCAGCGAAAUGCGAUACGUAAUGUGAAUUGCAGAAUUCCGUGAAUCAUCGAAUCUUUGAACGCACAUUGCGCCCCUUGGUAUUCCAGGGGGCAUGCCUGUUUGAGCGUCAUUUCCUUCUCAAACAUUCUGUUUGGUAGUGAGUGAUACUCUUUGGAGUUAACUUGAAAUUGCUGGCCCUUUCAUUGGAUGUUUUUUUUUCCAAAGAGAGGUUUCUCUGCGUGCUUGAGGUAUAAUGCAAGUACGGUCGUUUUAGGUUUUACCAACUGCGGCUAAUCUUUUUUAUACUGAGCGUAUUGGAACGUUAUCGAUAAGAAGAGAGCGUCUAGGCGAACAAUGUUCUUAAAGUUUGACCUCAAAUCAGGUAGGAGUACCCGCUGAACUUAAGCAUAUCAAUAAGCGGAG